rnacentral:rRNA from 1 species
GAGCGUAGAUGGAUGUUAAAGUCAGUUGUGAAAGUUUGCGGCUCAACCGUAAAAAUUGCAGUUGAUACUGGAUGUCUGNAGUGCAGUUGAGGCAGGCGGAAUUCGUGGUGUAGCGGUGAAAUGCUUAGAUAUCACGAAGAACUCCGAUUGCGAAGGCAGCCUGCUAAGCUGCAACUGACAUUGAGGCUCGAAAGUGUGGGUAUCAAACAGGAUUAGAUACCCUGGUAGUCCACACGGUAAACGAUGAAUACUCGCUGUUUGCGAUAUACGGCAAGCGGCCAAGCGAAAGCGUUAAGCAUUCCACCUGGGGAGUACGCCGGCAACGGUGAAACUCAAAGGAAUUGACGGGGGCCCGCACAAGCGGAGGAACAUGUGGUUUAAUUCGAUGAUACGCGAGGAACCUUACCCGGGCUUAAAUUGCACUCGAAUGAUCCGGAAACGGUUCAGCUAGCAAUAGCGAGUGUGAAGGUGCUGCAUGGUUGUCGUCAGCUCGUGCCGUGAGGUGUCGGCUUAAGUGCCAUAACGAGCGCAACCCUUGUUGUCAGUUACUAACAGGUGAUGCUGAGGACUCUGACAAGACUGCCAUCGUAAGAUGUGAGGAAGGUGGGGAUGACGUCAAAUCAGCACGGCCCUUACGUCCGGGGCUACACACGUGUUACAAUGGGGGGUACAGAGGGCCGCUACCACGCGAGUGGAUGCCAAUCCCUAAAACCCCUCUCAGUUCGGACUGGAGUCUGCAACCCGACUCCACGAAGCUGGAUUCGCUAGUAAUCGCGCAUCAGCCACGGCGCGGUGAAUACGUUCCCGGGCCUUGUACACACCGCCCGUCAAGCCAUGGGAGCCGGGGGUACCUGAAGUGCGUAACCGCGAGGAUCGCCCUAGGGUAAAACUGGUGACUGGG